UGUGUUGUUUUUUUGGGCGUUCGGUGGAUGCCUUGGCAUCAGGGGCCGAUGAAGGACGUGGUGGCCUGCGAUAAGCCUCGGGGAGCCGGCUAGCGGGCUGUGAUCCGAGGGUGUCCGAAUGGGGGGACCCGGCACUUGUUAUGGGGUGUCACCUGCAUCUGAAUUGAUAGGGUGUGGGGGGUUACGCGGGGAAGUGAAACAUCUUAGUACCCGUAGGAGAAGAUAUUCCGUGAGUAGUGGCGAGCGAAAGCGGAUGAUGGCUAAACCGUUGUCGUGUGGUGACCCGGCAGGGGCUGCGGCGGCGGGGUUGUUGGGGUGCGUCUGUUCUCAUCUCUGCCGGGGUGGGGCGCGUGUGUGGCUGGGUAGCUGAACCGUCUGGGAUGGCGGGCCGGAGUGGGUGAGAGCCCUGUAGGCGGAACCUGGUUGUGUGCGUGUAGGGCGUUCUCCCGUUGUAGCACGGGGCUCGUGGAAUCCUGUGUGAGUCUGCCAAGACCACUUGGUUGCCUGAAUACUUCCUGAUGACCGAUAGCGGAUGAGUACCGUGAGGGAAUGGUGAAAAGUACCCCGGGAGGGGAGUGAAAGAGUACCUGAAACCGGGCGCCUGCAAGCCGUCAGAGCCUCCCGCCUUGCCUUGUGUGGGGUGGGGGUGGUGGCGUGCCUAUUGAAGAAUGAGCCUGCGAGUCAUUGCCGUGUCGCGAGGUUAACCCGUCAGGGGUAGUCGUAGCGAAAGCGAGUCUGAACAGGGCGGUUGUGAGUGGCGCGGUAUGGACCCGAAGCGGGGUGAUCUACCCAUGGCCAGGUUGAGGCGUGUGUAAGAGCGCGUGGAGGACCGUACCCACCUGGGUUGAAAACCGGGGGGAUGAGCUGUGGGUAGGGGUGAAAGGCCAAUCAGACUCCGUGAUAGCUGGUUCUCCCCGAAAUGCAUUUUGGUGCAGCGUCGCGUGUUGCCCGGCGGAGGUAGAGCUACUGGGUGGCUGAGGGGCCUUACAGGGUUACUGAGGUCAGCCAAACUCCGAAUGCCGUGCGGGUGUGUAGCGUGGCAGUGAGACUGCGGGGGAUAAGCUUCGUGGUCGAGAGGGAAACAGCCCGGAUCGCCGGCUAAGGCCCCUAAGCGUGUGCUAAGUGGGAAAGGAUGUGCGGUCGCGCAGACAACCAGGAGGUUGGCUUAGAAGCAGCCAUCCUUGAAAGAGUGCGUAAUAGCUCACUGGUCGAGUGGUCGUGCGCCGACAAUGUAGCGGGGCUCAAGCACACCGCCGAAGCCGCGGACCCCCAACAUCGAUCCUCCCCAAUCCGCC
rfam:Actinomyces massiliensis F0489 contig00179, whole genome shotgun sequence.